AUUGAACGCUGGCGGCAUGCCUUACACAUGCAAGUCGAACGGCAGCACGGGAGCAAUCCUGGUGGCGAGUGGCGAACGGGUGAGUAAUAUAUCGGAACGUGCCCAAUCGUGGGGGAUAACGUAGCGAAAGCUACGCUAAUACCGCAUACGAUCUAUGGAUGAAAGCGGGGGAUCGCAAGACCUCGCGCGAUUGGAGCGGCCGAUAUCAGAUUAGGUAGUUGGUGGGGUAAAAGCCUACCAAGCCUUCGAUCUGUAGCUGGUCUGAGAGGACGACCAGCCACACUGGAACUGAGACACGGUCCAGACUCCUACGGGAGGCAGCAGUGGGGAAUUUUGGACAAUGGGCGCAAGCCUGAUCCAGCAAUGCCGCGUGCAGGAUGAAGGCCUUCGGUUGUAAACUGCUUUGUACGGUACGAAACGGUACUUUCUAAUAAAGAGGCUAAUGACGGUACCGUAAGAAUAAGACACCGGCUAACUAACGUGCCAGCAGCGAC
rnacentral:rRNA from 1 species